CGCGACUCUGCCUCUCCGCCCCGCCGCCAUGUGGGAGCUUCGGCCGCUCCUCCUCGGCCUCGAGGUCGGCGGCUGCGGAGCGCCUCGGUUCCGAAGCGCGGUCUGAAAGGGCUCCCCAGGCGGCGGCUGUGCCGUUAUAGGAAGAAAGUGAGCAUGGAGUGUGUUAUCCCGAGCACCACUGCGAUGCUGGGCUGAGGAGUUCGUGAGGCUUCGUUCUUCCAGAAACUCCAUGGAAAUUCUCCAAGGAUCGUUACUUUGUCAUGCUCAUUAGAACUUGAGAUGAAACCUAUUGAGGUGCCUUAACAUCAUCUCCGAACACCAGGUGCUUUGGCAUUUCAGAUGUCACAUGGGUCAGGACAAAAUAGCAUUUCUAAUUGUCAGCUACAGAAUUGGACACAAAACUGUGAGAGGAGGAGGGAAAUCCCCGUAGAGAGAAUUCAAGGUUAUCACUCUGCUUCUGACAGAAUUGAAAAGCUAACUGACUGACAUGAAAGACCCAGCUUCUUCUACAGUAAUGUUCUGUAAUGGAAAGGCACUGAAGUCGUUCUGCCUUUUGUCCCAGAUCUCUCAUCUCUCAUGUAUUCUUUUCUUUCUCUGUCACAAGGUGGGUACGUUACGUUCUGUUCUGUGAAUUCUAGCUCUGAAUCCAAGUGUGUAUCUCAGGUGUGAUGACUUCAAAAAUAUGUUUAGCAUACAUAAUUGUGUGUGCUGCAUCUGAUACACACAUGCUGUAAUGUAACGGACUAAUAUAGACAUGUUUGUUGUUUAUGUACCCGUACCACGGAAAGAGAAAAAGAUGUUCUCAUGCCAUCAUAGCAGUGAGGCACCUGGUGGAAGGACACAGUUUCUCUGCCAGCAACAGGGAAACUAUUCACCUGCUGCUGGGCUUUCAAGUUAGCAGUCUAACUGGAUUUGGAGGGGCUAGCAUGAGUUCAUUGUCCGUAGGAACCCACCAAAGCAGGCCCAGGAGUGGCCUAUAAAAUUAUCCAUAUGGCAGCUGUUGGAGAUGUAACAGGAGGUAACUUCUGCUCCUGUACAAAGCACCGUGACACCUGCGACAAAGUUGAUAACAUGUGCCAUAGGUCUGUGCAGCAGGCUGCGGUCCCUGCUGGAGCUGGUGCUGAUGGGCUAGGUGAGAGGAGGUGCUUCUCGCUCAGUGCUGACAGAAGCACAAUGUUUGGUUUUCUCAUAGUUACAUAUUAUUUCACAAAAUCAAAUUGAAAUAGGCUGUCAGCUUUGAGAGGAACCUUAAACAACAAAUACGCAGUUCUGAAUACGUGGAAGUAUUCAGUGUUUGUCUGUAUGUGGGCUUU
rnacentral:lncRNA from 1 species